ensembl:miRNA
ACAGAGGAGCUUUUGACAUGAACUGAUCUUUACAUUCAAGUUCAUGUCUGAGCUAAUCAGA